GACGUAGGGCGCGAGCGUUGUCCGGAUUUAUUGGGCGUAAAGAGCUCGUAGGCGGCUUGUCGCGUCUGCUGUGAAAUUUCGGGGCUCAACCCCGAACUUGCAGUGGGUACGGGCAGACUAGAGUGUGGUAGGGGAGACUGGAAUUCCUGGUGUAGCGGUGAAAUGCGCAGAUAUCAGGAGGAACACCGAUGGCGAAGGCAGGUCUCUGGGCCAUAACUGACGCUGAGAAGCGGAAGCAUGGGGAGCGAACAGG
rnacentral:rRNA from 1 species